rnacentral:rRNA from 1 species
ACCAGACUCCUACGGGAGGCAGCAGUGGGGAAUAUUGCACAAUGGGGGAAACCCUGAUGCAGCGACGCCGCGUGAGUGAAGAAGUAUUUCGGUAUGUAAAGCUCUAUCAGCAGGGAAGAUAAUGACGGUACCUGACUAAGAAGCCCCGGCUAACUACGUGCCAGCAGCCGCGGUAAUACGUAGGGGGCAAGCGUUAUCCGGAUUUAUUGGGUUUAAAGGGUGCGCAGGCGGAAUGUCAAGUCAGCGGUAAAAUUUCGGGGCUCAACCCCGUCGAGCCGUUGAAACUGGCAGACUUGAGUUGGCGAGAAGUACGCGGAAUGCGCGGUGUAGCGGUGAAAUGCAUAGAUAUCGCGCAGAACUCCGAUUGCGAAGGCAGCGUACCGGCGCCAGACUGACGCUGAGGCACGAAAGCGUGGGGAUCGAACAGGAUUAGAUACCCGAGUAAC